CGAACUCUCGGCCAGGCGGAGCAGCCGGCCUUCCAGGCCGACGAGGCGCCGGUUCAGCCCGUAGAGUUCGUC
rnacentral:tRNA from 1 species